rnacentral:lncRNA from 1 species
AGAAAUUAUAGAUAGACACAUUCCUGGGUCAUCCUCCCAAAAGUACAUCCACAUCAGAUGUGAAGGUGGUAUGACCCUCACCCCUAGUGGGUGACACCACAAUAGGGAAAAAACCCAUGCGGCAUCAGGACUAUGCAGUAAUACUGGUUACUGUGCAGUCUUUUAGCACUUGCUUAAACUUAGGCAAAUACUAAAUGACUGUGCAGUUCAGUGCACAUGUAGAUGUGCCCACAAAGUUUUAUUUAUAUACUUAUUUUGGGGUAGGGAGAGAGGGAAAAUACAGAGAGUAUUGCCCGGGACACCAGGGUUAUCUUCUCAUCUGUUUAAAAAGCAUCCUCAAAGCUUUCAUUUACACAUAGAUGUGAGAGGGACAGGAGGGACUUUGGUUUAGUGUCCCCUCUAAAGGACCAAAGGCAAUUUUGCUGGGUUUGCUUUAUGUGAGAAAUUGCUCAGAAGAGCUGUUGCCAUCUAUCAUGUCAAUAAUUCACAGACAAAAGGUUGCUAAUAAUAUGCAUUGCCACAACAGACUGUAACGGCUGUGUAAGUAUCAUUCCAUUUAUUAUUAUCCCAAUGACCCAUAGAAUAUAGAAGUAUUUUUUUAGUACUAUGAAAAGCAAUAGAAGUGAGGAGGUCAUGUUAACAAGGAACAGACAUUAUGCCAUGAAAUAAAGGACAUUUGGGCCUCAUUCCAUUCAGACCAUGUUUACUUUCUUUACAGAAGCAAUUCUAGCAAGAUGCCAAAGUGUUCAAAUGCAUCUGGCAUGUAAAACAUUAGUUUGUGUCCUUGUGGCUCUUGAAAUAGGGUGAUUGAAGGAUAGGGAUAAGGGAGGUGUUAAUAAACAGUGGGCUUUGAUAAGAAUGCAUUAUAUCCUGUUUGGAGGCAAACCAACAACCAAUGUGAAUCUGUUGGAAAUCUCAACCUGAAAGUUUUGUGACUAGGGCAGUUUCCUAUGGAUCAUGGGUGAUAUGUUGCUGUCAAGACCCUUUGACUUUGCUUGUGGUUACAGAAAAUUAAAACGUGUAAGUGAAUUAUGGGGAGAGCAAACUAUGUCUAAAGUGGAUUUCUGGAUUAAUACCAUUGCUUACAAGACAGAGAAGAUGGGGGAUCACUGGACAGAGAAGAUAGAGGACCACUGGAGACCAGUGAUUGAUACAAUUAGUAGCAAUGUAGGUAUGUACAAGGAGAGCCAUGACCCUACUUCACCCAACCCCCUCUGCUUCAUACCCACCCAUGAACUUGUACACUGGUCAUGACUUCAGCCUGGCU